rnacentral:rRNA from 1 species
GAUGAACGCUGGCGGCGUGCUUAACACAUGCAAGUCGAACCGUGAAGCAGGAGCUUGCUCUUGUGGAUCAGUGGCGAACGGGUGAGUAACACGUGAGCAACCUGCCCCUGACUCUGGGAUAAGCGCUGGAAACGGCGUCUAAUACUGGAUAUGUGAUGUGACCGCAUGGUCUGCAUCUGGAAAGAAUUUCGGUUGGGGAUGGGCCCGCGGCCUAUCAGCUUGUUGGUGAGGUAAUGGUGCACAAAGGCGCCGACGGGUAGCCGGCCUGAGAGGGUGACCGGCCACACUGGGACUGAGACACGGCCCAGACUCCUACGGGAGGCAGCAGUGGGGAAUAUUGCACAAUGGGCGGAAGCCUGAUGCAGCAACGCCGCGUGAGGGAUGACGGCCUUCGGGUUGUAAACCUCUUUUAGCAGGGAAGAAGCGAAAGUGACGGUACCUGCAGAAAAAGCACCGGCUAACUACGUGCCAGCCGCCGCCGUAA